rnacentral:rRNA from 1 species
ACGAACGCUGGCGGUGUGCUUAAUACAUGCAAGUCGAACGGAGAUAUUGAUUCGGUUGAUAUCUUAGUGGCGAACGGGUGAGUAACGCGUGAACAACCUGACUCAGAGUGGGGGAUAACAACGGGAAACUGUUGCUAAUACCGCAUAAGACCACGUCCUCGCAUGGGGAAGGGGUCAAAGAUUUAUCGCUUUGAGAGGGGUUCGCGUCCCAUUAGGUAGUUGGAGGGGUAACGGCCCACCAAGCCGACGAUGGGUAGCCGAGCUGAGAGGCUGAUCGGCCACACUGGAACUGAGACACGGUCCAGACUCCUACGGGAGGCAGCAGUAGGGAAUAUUGGGCAAUGGGCGCAAGCCUGACCCAGCAACGCCGCGUGAGGGAAGAAGGUUUUCGGAUUGUAAACCUCUGUCCUAUGUGACGAAGGAAGUGACGGUAGCAUAGGAGGAAGCCCCGGCUAACUACGUGCCAGCCGCAGC